AGCACAGGUAAAUACAAUGUUGAGUUGGGCUUGUAGGUAGAAGAAUCAACCGCGCGUUAUCGUCGGCACAAAAUUUGAGAAGAUCGCUGUAAAUAAUUGGAAACCACCGAACAUGGCGCAAGAUACAGCAGUAAAACGAGGCCACAAAAUACCGGUUCCAAGCAACUAUCGGAACGCAGCCAAGUAUGUGCAGAUUGCAAAGGAGGAAAAGCGUAAUAUUAUGCCGCUCCUUGAGCAGGACAAACAUUUCCGUGCGGGCCGAACGGUAGUGGGCCGUGUGCUGAACAACAUGCCCAUAAUCGAUUUAAUCUACAAUGAGCUCGAUCUGGCCACGAAGGAACCGCGUAUAAAACAGUGGCUGGCGAAGGUUAUGAUCGCGGAAGUGCUGUUCGGCAAUGGUCGAUUGGUUGGAAACUCACGACCGGUAGAAUCCAUGAAGGCCUACGUGGAUCAGAUGCACAUGUUGCUAGACAAACAUAUGAAGGAUAUAAAAAAAAAUGAGGAAAAAUUUAAAGAACCGCGCUUUGUACGUAUCAACACGAACGUGCUGAAUUUAGAGGGCGCGAAGCACCUGCUAGCCGAGGAACAAUGGAAUCUGGUGGAAGAAAUUUUCCCCAAUUACCAGUCGUUCCUGGAGCGCGUCAAGGAGCUAAGGAAUGACGAGUACAUGGAGGAUUUUCAUUUUCCUGAUAUGCUAGUGUUCCCGUACGAGGCCAAAUGGUACUGGUCACGGGCACAGCAUCUUCAUGGUAAAUUUCUACUGCAAAACAAGGCUUGUCUUCUACCGACGUAUCUGCUGAAGCCGCCGAAAAAAUCUGUCGUGCUAGAUAUGUGUGCCGCACCCGGACUUAAGACAACGCAUUUGGCCAGCUUGAUGAAGAACAAGGGUCGUAUAUACGCAGUCGAGCGAGAUCACACCCGCUACACGCAGCUGUGCAAGCUCGUUAGUCCGUACGGUGUGAUUAAAACGAUCCACAGCGACUGUCUCAAAGUGACCCACGAACAAGUCCCGGGCGUCCAGUACAUACUGAUCGAUCCGAGCUGUUCCGGUUCUGGGAUGCUUCAGCGCCAGCUGGUACCGGAGGAGGUCGAUGAGCAACGGCUAUACAAGCUAGCCGGUUUGCAGUACAAGCUGUUGAUGCACGCGUUGAAUAACUUCCCGGAUGUACGCCGCAUCGUGUACUCUACCUGUUCGGUGUACGUGCAGGAAAACGAAGAGGUAGUGCAGAGUGUGCUGCGCCACACUGCCCACUUUCGGUUGCUCGAUGCACGGAAGGAGCUGGGCAAGGAAUGGCUGAACGUUGGUUCACCCAAAUAUCGCGAUAUCGGUGAGCGCUGCCUGUACGCGAAGACGGUCGAUGAUCUGACGAUAGGAAUGUUUGUGGCGGUCUUUGAACGGUGCCCGGAGGGUGUUGAAAAUAAGAUUUAUUUGGAGCACGAAAAGCAGAAGCAGAGUUACGAGCGUUGCAUGCAAAAGUGGCAAAGAAAUGAACAGAUGGAACAGAAAUCUAAAAUGACAGAAGAAAAUACAGUUCAGGAACCGAAUGAAGAACAUGAAGGAGAACAGGAAGAAGUACAAGUAGAGAAACAAACAUCUAAGAAACGUAAGAAAGCCAGGAUAGAGGAAAACAUGGUUGAAGAAAAGAAGGAUUUGUUAAGAAAUGAACAGAUGGAACAGAAACCUAAAAUGACAGAAGAAAAUACAGUUCAGGAACCGAAUGAGGAACAGGAAGGAGAACAGGAAGAAGUACAAGUAGAGAAACAAACAUCUAAGAAACGUAAGAAAGCAAGGAUAGAGGAAAACAUGGUUGAAGAAGAGAAGGAGCAGAAAGAAGCAAAGGAGAAAUCCGCUUUCAAAAAACGCAAGGAAAAGUCUUAAAGAUCAGAUAGGGAAAACAAUAGUUGACAAAAAAACAAUCAGCCUCAUAUAAACGUAAGUAUAACUUGGAGAAGAUCAAGUUGAAGUUUUCACAAACAGGAGAAAAACAAUAAUGACGGAAGCAGAAGCACACUAAAGGAUGAAUUUACAAUGAUGAAUUGUAUUGGAGAUCGUCCAGACGGAACUCUAACAAACACUUGUGUUUCUCCGAACAAACGAACGAACGAAACAAAGGAUGAAAAGGAAAUGUCACGGAAAACAUUGCAAUUUUUGGUGGAAAAGCACAAUUGUUCAUCUGCUAAAGAAGAGGUAAGACAUGGUUAGAAAAAAUAUUAUGUUCUACUUGCCGUGGGAUCAUUGAAGGGUUACUUGUAAUAGAAAUUAUUUAAAAAUAUAAUAAGAUAGAGAUAAUUUACCUGAGCUUUGAGGCAAACUUUUGUUUUUGACUCUGGGUAAAUGAAAGUUUGUUCGUAGGACACUUACCUUUCAUACCUUUGGAAGACAAAACUGGUUCUUCGCGGUCACUUUACUUUUACAUACUGGCAUUUUUCAUUGACAUAAACCCUUUAAUUCACUUUAGCACAUUUAAAACAUCAAACACGCCUACAAUGGCCACAUUUGUCAAUACACGAUUUCACGCAAUAAGCAAUAAGCUCAUUAAGAAACGGAUAUAAUUUUUUUUAACAUAUAUAAACAAUUCUCCAGCGGUUCCGGUUAAAAUGUACUUCAUCAAUCAUAGGAAUUCUAUGUUUAAGGAACAACAAAGGGAGUGAUUGCCAUUCCCGAUUUUUUCAAAUACAAAAAAGAUGGCAAAAGCUUUUGCUGACAAGAAAGAUAUAUAAAUAGAAGGAUAUUUCCGGUUAUCUACUCAAAA